rnacentral:misc_RNA from 1 species
CGCACAUUGCGCCCCUUGGUAUUCCGGGGGGCAUGCCUGUUCGAGCGUCAUUUCAACCCUCCAGCCUCGCUGGGUCUUGGGACUCGCUAACCGCGGUCCUUAAAAUCAGUGGCGGUGCCUGUCGGCUCUACGUGUAGUAAAUCACCUCGCGUCUGGGUCCGGCUGGUGCUUGCCAGUAACCACAAUUUUUUUCAGGUUGACCUCGGAUCAGGUAGGGAUACCCGCUGAACUUAA